rnacentral:rRNA from 1 species
GCGAACGGGUAGGCCGGCCUGAGAGGGUGUCCGGCCUCACUGGGACUGAGAUAACGGCCCAGACUCCUACGGGAGGCAGCAGUCCGAGAAGCUUCGGCAAUGGACGAAAGUCUGACCGAGCGACGCCGCGUGAGCGAUGAAGGCCCCUAGUGGUCGUAAAGCUCUGUCAGGAGGGAAUAAAUGCCUGUGGUCAAUACCCGCAGGAGUUGAAGGUACCUCCAGAGGAAGCGCCGGCUAACUACGUGCCAGCAGCCGCGGUAAUACGUAGGGCGCAAACGUUGUUCGGAUUUACUGGGUUUAAAGGGUUCGUAGGCGGGCUUGUAAGUCAGAGGUGAAAGCCAACGGCUCAACCGUUGAAUUGCCUCUGAUACUGCAAGUCUUGAGUCCGUUAGGGGAUGGUGGAAUUCCUGGUGUAGCGGUGAAAUGCGUAAAUAUCAGGAAGAACACCGGUGGCGAAGGCGGCCAUCUGGGACGGUACUGACGCUGAGGAACGAAAGCAUGGGUAUCAAACGGGAUUAGAUACCCCGGUAGUCCAUGCCGUAAACGAUGGGCACUAGGUGUUGGAGGACUCUACCCCUUCAGUGCCGCAGCUAACGCAUUAAGUACCCCACCUGGGGAGUACGAUCGCAAGGUUGAAAACUCAAAUGAAUUGACGGGG